rnacentral:rRNA from 1 species
AAAGGUGGUUUUGGUUACCAUUACAUGGACCCGGGGGCCAUUAGCUAGUUGGGAGGUAACGGUUCACCAAGGGGACGAUGCGUAGCCGACCUGAGAGGGUGAUCGGCCACACUGGGACUGAGACACGGCCCAGAUUCCUACGGGAGGCAGCAGUAGGGAAUCUUCCGCAAUGGACGAAAGUCUGACGGAGCAACGCCGCGUGAGUGAUGAAGGUUUUCGGAUCGUAAAGCUCUGUUGUUAGGGAAGAACAAGUGCCGUUCAAAUAGGGCGGCACCUUGACGGUACCUAACCAGAAAGCCACGGCUAACUACGUGCCAGCAGCCGCGGUAAUACGUAGGUGGCAAGCGUUGUCCGGAAUUAUUGGGCGUAAAGGGCUCGCAGGCGGUUUCUUAAGUCUGAUGUGACAGCCCCCGGCUCAACCGGGGAGGGUCAUUGGAAACUGGGGAACUUGAGUGCAGAAGAGGAGAGUGGAAUUCCACGUGUAGCGGUGAAAUGCGUAGAGAUGUGGAGGAACACCAGUGGCGAAGGCGACUCUCUGGUCUGUAACUGACGCUGAGGAGCGAAAGCGUGGGGAGCGAACAGGAUUAGAUACCCUGGUAGUCCACGCCGUAAACGAUGAGUGCUAAGUGUUAGGGGGUUUCCGCCCCUUAGUGCUGCAGCUAACGCAUUAAGCACUCCGCCUGGGGAGUACGGUCGCAAGACUGAAACUCAAAGGAAUUGACGGGGGCCCGCACAAGCGGUGGAGCAUGUGGUUUAAUUCGAAGCAACGCGAAGAACCUUACCAGGUCUUGACAUCCUCUGACAAUCCUAGAGAUAGGACGUCCCCUUCGGGGGCAGAGUGACAGGUGGUGCAUGGUUGUCGUCAGCUCGUGUCGUGAGAUGUUGGGUUAAGUCCCGCAACGAGCGCAACCCUUGAUCUUAGUUGCCAGCAUUCAGUUGGGCACUCUAAGGUGACUGCCGGUGACAAACCGGAGGAAGGUGGGGAUGACGUCAAAUCAUCAUGCCCCUUAUGACCUGGGCUACACACGUGCUACAAUGGACAGAACAAAGGGCAGCGAAACCGCGAGGUUAAGCCAAUCCCACAAAUCUGUUCUCAGUUCGGAUCGCAGUCUGCAACUCGACUGCGUGAAGCUGGAAUCGCUAGUAAUCGCGG